AAGAAAUUAUCAAGCAAAGGAAAGCUUGACGACAGCAGAGCCACAAAACAAAUUGUAGCGCUCCUAAGUGCUCCAUUAGAGAAAUAUAAUGAUGUUGUCACUGCUUUGAAGCUUUCAAACUAUCCCAAAGUCAUGGAAUACCUUGACAGUGAGACGAAUAAAGUUAUGGCAACUGUCAUAAUUCAAAGUAUUAUGAAAAACAAAACAAACAUUUCUACGGCUGGGAAGGUUGAGGCAUUAUUUGAAUUAAUCACUGGGCUUAUCAAGGAUUUGGAUGGAGCCCAUGAAGAGGUUGAUGAAGAUGAUUUCAAUGAGGAGCAGAAUUCUGUUGCACGUCUUAUUCAGAUGCUGCAUAAUGAUGAUCCAGAGGAAAUGUAUAAGAUCAUAUGUACAGUAAGGAAGUGGAUCAUGACUGGAGGACCAAGGCGUUUACCCUUCACUGUUCCUCCUCUUGUCUUUUCUUCUCUUAAGUUGGUUAGGACACUGCAAGGCCAAGAUCAAGGCCAAGAUGAAAAUCCUUUUGGAGAUGAAUCAUCAAUUACACCAAAGAAAAUUUUUCAGCUUUUGAAUCAGACGAUUGAGGUACUGUCAACUGUUCCAGCACCUGAAUUAGCACUGCAGCUGUACUUACAGUGUGCGGAGGCUGCUAAUGACUCUGAUUUAGAACCUGUUGCAUAUGAAUUUUUCACCCAAGCAUAUAUUCUGUAUGAAGAAGAAGUCUCAGAUUCCAAAGCACAGGUGACUGCACUACAUUUAGCUGCAUUUAAUAAUAGGGACUCUACGAAGGAUGCAUGUCUUUGGUAUUGAGAAUAGAGAUACAUUGACACACAAAGCCACGGGGUAUUCUGCUAAGCUUUUAAAGAAGCC
rnacentral:misc_RNA from 1 species